rnacentral:rRNA from 1 species
AGAGUUUGAUCAUGGCUCAGAGCGAACGCUGGCGGCAGGCUUAACACAUGCAAGUCGAGCGGGCGUAGCAAUACGUCAGCGGCAGACGGGUGAGUAACGCGUGGGAACAUACCUUUUGGUUCGGAACAACACAGGGAAACUUGUGCUAAUACCGGAUAAGCCCUUACGGGGAAAGAUUUAUCGCCGAAAGAUUGGCCCGCGUCUGAUUAGCUAGUUGGUGAGGUAACGGCUCACCAAGGCGACGAUCAGUAGCUGGUCUGAGAGGAUGAUCAGCCACAUUGGGACUGAGACACGGCCCAAACUCCUACGGGAGGCAGCAGUGGGGAAUAUUGGACAAUGGGCGAAAGCCUGAUCCAGCCAUGCCGCGUGAGUGAUGAAGGCCCUAGGGUUGUAAAGCUCUUUUGUGCGGGAAGAUAAUGACGGUACCGCAAGAAUAAGCCCCGGCUAACUUCGUGCCAGCAGCCGCGGUAAUACGAAGGGGGCUAGCGUUGCUCGGAAUCACUGGGCGUAAAGGGUGCGUAGGCGGGUCUUUAAGUCAGGGGUGAAAUCCUGGAGCUCAACUCCAGAACUGCCUUUGAUACUGAGGAUCUUGAGUACGGGAGAGGUGAGUGGAACUGCGAGUGUAGAGGUGAAAUUCGUAGAUAUUCGCAAGAACACCAGUGGCGAAGGCGGCUCACUGGCCCGUAACUGACGCUGAGGCACGAAAGCGUGGGGAGCAAACAGGAUUAGAUACCCUAGUAGUCC